GACGAACCGUGCGAACGUUAUUCGGAAUCACUGGGCUUAAAGCGCGUGUAGGCGGGACGGCACGUCGGUCGCUGAAAGCCCCCGGCUCAACCGGGGAAUGGGCGCCGAUACGACCGCCCUGGAGGGACGUAGGGGGACCUGGAACUUCCGGCGGAGCGGUGAAAUGCGUUGAGAUCGGAAGGAACGCCCGUGGCGAAAGCGAGGUCCUGGACGUCUGCUGACGCUGAGACGCGAAAGCCAGGGGAGCGAACGGG
rnacentral:misc_RNA from 1 species